rnacentral:tRNA from 1 species
UCUGGUAUAGUGUAAAUGGCUAACAUACCUCAUUUCACCGAGGAGCUCGGGGUUCGAUUCCCCGUACCAAAG